CUUGUAAAUGCAAAUGUGUUUUUGUGAGGAUAGAAUGCAAUUUGAAUGCAUUGUUUUAUUAUUAUUUCAUAUAUGUAUGUUAUGAAAAUACCAUUACAAUCAUGGGAUUUCUUGAAGCAAUCUUUACUUUAUAAUCAAUUUCUAUGAAAUUUACAUAUAUACAGGUGAUCAAGAAAAAAUAGUUCUUGAGAUAAAAUUAUGUUUAAAUUUGAAGCAAAAACUAUGAUAGGAUUUUGAAAUAAAGGGGUAUAUCUAGGAUUAUAGAAAGUGUUGGUUAUUUGCUCUGAUUGGUAAAAUUUAGGCAAGUGCAGUGUGGCAAAAUUUGUGCCUAAAAGUUAUAUUUUUAUAAUCUUAAGAGGUGUGUGCAUACCGCUACACCCCAAAUUGGCCCCGUCUGUUUCUGCAACUCUGAUAUAUUUUCAUUUUACACUUUAAAGUUUAAAUCGCAUCCUCAGCAGGAAUCAAAGUUAAGUGGUUUUUAGGUAAAGAUUGGGACUGACUUGAUAUCUAAAUGUUCCAAGGCUUAUCACCUCCUUUUUGAUACACAAAAUAUAGUGCAUUGAUCAUAACAUUCUAUACAUCCUAUGGAUAAACACUUCGAGAAAUUUUUCAAUGUAAUAUUCUCAGAUAUUCAAGGCACAAAAUUCUGUUAGACUUGUCAAGAAAAUUACAUAACUUUUGCAAGGUGCAGGAAUCUAAUAUCUAAUCUAAAAAUAUAAAUUAUGUCAUUGUUAACCUCAUCUUUAAAAAUUGAAGUUAUCUUCCUUUGUCUAGAAUAGCAGAUAAAUCAACUACAACUAAUGCCAUAUUAAUAUUACUUCCCACUGAUAAAUUAAAGCA
rnacentral:lncRNA from 1 species